UGCGUGUCUCCUACGGGCCAGGCACUCUUCCAGGUGCCAGUUAUUGUCGCCUGCAGAAGGAGUGGAUUGGAGAAGCUCUGGAGUAGAAGUAGGGAGACCAAUUAGUUGAGGAAUAACAUCACGUCAAAUUGCCUACCACCUGAACAAUUCCCAAGGCCUCUGACUAAUGAUGAACAGAGACAAUGAUGUGAUGCAUGAACCACUUUGUGUAUCUGACAUGGAGAAAAAAGCGUUUCCUUCGCACAAGAGAACAAGAGGACAUAAGACUCAGAAGCACUCAAGAAUCUACAAAGCAGGGAGAUUCCUGAAGAAAAAAAAAGGUGGGGGGGAGGGCAUGUGAGAAUUAGACUGGAUGAAUAUCCACAAAAAUGUGAAGUGUGAUCUCUGGGAAAUGAGGUUAUUAGUAAUUUGUAUGCCUUUUUUUCAUCAUUUGAAAUGUGUUUUUCCAAUGAGAAGGUAUACUUUUUUUUUUUUUAAUCAGAAAGAAAUGCUGUAUUCAUUUGGAAUAUAAAUGGAUAUAAUCUAACCCAAACAAAAUAUUUUAUUUAGACUUAUUACUUAAGGGUAAGAAGACAGACAAAAUAGCCUUUCCUGGUGCUGUAUUUUAAUUAUUCAAAUUGCAGUAUUUUUAAGUAAGGUUAUCUCAUUUUAUCUACUAAGAUAGCAGCACCUGUAAAAUAUAAUUCACUACAUUAUUUGCUCAAGUAGAUAGUAUUAAAGUUACUUAUGGCUAUUGCCAUGCAUAGUGAACAAAAUACAUCCAACAUCAGAAGUAGUAAUUCAUCACUUCUCAAGUAAUAUUAAGCUCUGCUAAUAUUGUCAUUUCAUAGCUUUCUUUAAUGGUAUUUUUCUACAUAUUCGUUUUGAAUACAUCCAUGUGUACCAUGAAACUAUCAAGGAAGAAAGGUUGUUAACAAUUCCACAGGUCCAGUUUACUUGAUGCCCUAGGGACAUGCUGCCUUUUAGGUGGAAACUCAGAAUUACUAUAGCAAAUGUACCUUAGGAAAUAGCUGGAAACAGCACUAAUUUUGUUUUCCCAUCACCCCCAAAAAGGCUAAUAAAGACCAUCAUGAUAUGGAGGCAUUUUCUCAAAACUCCCACUCUCUACCAUUCUUUUUUCAUAUUUAUGAUCUUUUUCUUCUCCUUGGCCUGAAAAUAAAACUUUAGUCUGUAUCCCCCACCUUCCAUUUUUCCUGUUAUUUCAUUUUACAGUUUGAAAUUUUGUUAGGCACAGAAUCAAAACCUUUGUGAAUUAAAGAAGUGUAUACAGCAAUAAAACCUAAAACUCAAUUUGCACCUUUAAAUAAGCACUUGAGAUGUUUUUAUCAGUAACAAUAAAUAAGGUUUUGUUUUCUACAUUUAAAGCGAGUAUCACGUUCUCAAUGUGAAAAGAAAGUUAUUUAAAAAAAAAAAAGCAAGAAGGUCAAUCUGUGACAUUUGCAAUACAUUCUAGACUCAGCAACAACUGAAGUAUCAACCUCGUCAUCUGCCCUGGUGUGAUCCGUUGUUCAACCCAGGAAUGGCAUUUGUCAUAGAGAAAAUCUAACUGUGUCCAACAGGCCAAGAUAUUAUGAAUAGUACACUAAGAGAAUUAUUACAAUGAUAUUAUUGUGAUAACAUCUUAUUCUUACAUUACUUAUAAAGUGCCAUGAUUAUUUCAUUUGGGACCGAUACGCAUUCAUGAGAUAGGCAAAAGUUAUGUUAUCCCCAUGUUAAAGAUAAGACAUUGGAGAGGAUGGAUAUGUUCAUAGCAUAGAUUGCAGUGAUAGUUUCAUGGAUACGUACUUAUCUCCAAAAUCACCCAGUGUAUACAUUAAAUACAUAUAAUUUUAUAUUUGUCAAUCAGGCCUCAGUCUGCCUCUUUUCUGAUUCAUGUACUUAGUGUUUCCAGAGAGAUGCAGACACAAGGAAAGUAGAAAAUACACAAAACUGGGCAAAUUGCAUACAUGCUGAAAUAAUUUUGAAAAUAAAAAACCAAGUGUUUCAUUAUUAUAGCUCUUUUUCUUGGGAGAAAAAACUUGUUACUGGUUUUCCUAUUAAACAACUAUUUGGUCUACUCUGA